CCCCGGUAAACGGCGGCCGUAACUAUAACGGUCCUAAGGUAGCGAAAUUCCUUGUCGGGUAAGUUCCGACCUGCACGAAUGGCGUAAUGAUGGCCAGGCUGUCUCCACCCGAGACUCAGUGAAAUUGAACUCGCUGUGAAGAUGCAGUGUACCCGCGGCAAGACGGAAAGACCCCGUGAACCUUUACUAUAGCUUGACACUGAACAUUGAGCCUUGAUGUGUAGGAUAGGUGGGAGGCUUUGAAGUGUGGACGCCAGUCUGCAUGGAGCCGACCUUGAAAUACCACCCUUUAAUGUUUGAUGUUCUAACGUGGACCCGUAAUCCGGGUUGCGGACAGUGUCUGGUGGGUAGUUUGACUGGGGCGGUCUCCUCCUAAAGAGUAACGGAGGAGCACGAAGGUUGGCUAAUCCUGGUCGGACAUCAGGAGGUUAGUGCAAUGGCAUAAGCCAGCUUGACUGCGAGCGUGACGGCGCGAGCAGGUGCGAAAGCAGGUCAUAGUGAUCCGGUGGUUCUGAAUGGAAGGGCCAUCGCUCAACGGAUAAAAGGUACUCCGGGGAUAACAGGCUGAUACCGCCCAAGAGUUCAUAUCGACGGCGGUGUUUGGCACCUCGAUGUCGGCUCAUCACAUCCUGGGGCUGAAGUAGGUCCCAAGGGUAUGGCUGUUCGCCAUUUAAAGUGGUACGCGAGCUGGGUUUAGAACGUCGUGAGACAGUUCGGUCCCUAUCUGCCGUGGGCGCUGGAGAACUGAGGGGGGCUGCUCCUAGUACGAGAGGACCGGAGUGGACGCAUCACUGGUGUUCGGGUUGUCAUGCCAAUGGCACUGCCCGGUAGCUAAAUGCGGAAGAGAUAAGUGCUGAAAGCAUCUAAGCACGAAACUUGCCCCGAGAUGAGUUCUCCCUGAGACUUAG
rnacentral:rRNA from 15 species